CGCGUAGGCGGCGGAGCGUGUCGGAUGUGAAAUCCCCGGGCCCAACCCGGGAAGUGCGUCCGAAACUGCCCCGCUGGAGGACGGAAGAGGGAAUCGGAAUAUAGGGUGUAGCGGUGAAAUGCGUUGAUAUCCUAUAGAACACCGGAUGCGAAGGCGGAUUCCUGGUACGUAUCUGACGCUGAGGCGCGAAAGUCGGGGGAGCAAAACA
rnacentral:rRNA from 1 species